rnacentral:rRNA from 1 species
UACGUAGGUGGCAAGCGUUGUCCGGAUUUACUGGGCGUAAAGGGCAUGCAGGCGGUCCGACACGUUUUGUGUGACAGCGGGUGGCUUAACUACCCGAGGAUACGAAAGACGGUUGGACUUGAGGACUCGAGAGGGACACGGAAUUCCGGGUGGAGUGGUGAAAUGCGUAGAGAUCCGGAGGAACACCGAAGGCGAAGGCAGUGUCCUGGCGAGUGACUGACGCUGAGGUGCGAAAGCCAGGGGAGCGAACGGG